GCCGGGCAUGGUUGGCACACACCUGUAAUCCCAGUAGCUCAGGAGGCUGAGACAGGAGGAUCGCGAGUUCAAAACCAGCCUCAGCAAAAAGUAAGCCACUAAGCAACUUAGUGAGACUCUGUCUCUA
rnacentral:sRNA from 1 species